AGAGGCAAUCCUGUCAUUUACUGUUCAUUUGGGAAGUAUUUUCGAUUUUCCCAUUUUACCUUCAGCAAUGGUUUAUUUCUUAUACCUUCUUCACCUCUUCUCUUUGCCUCACAUUCGUUCCUCCCUUUACAAACUACAGAAGAACCUCAAAAUCUACCCAUAGCCAUAAAAGAUUCCCCACAGAUCUCGUUUAUCUCAGCCCCAAAUUCGUUCUUCCUCUUUCGAACUAUACAAGAACUUCAAAAUCAAAAGAAAAUCCUAAAAAAAUCCCCAUAGAUCUCGUUUACAUCUGAGAAAUCGAAAUCCUCAGAAGACCCUUUUCCUCUUCUUUUGUAUUGUUGUCGACGAAGUGUUAUGGAGGAAGCUAUUCUUCUUUCUUCAUCGCCGUUCGAUUGCAAGCUCACUACACAAACAAUUACCCACAGAAAAAGUUUAGUUUUUUCGAUAUGUUUUACGAAUCUUGCUCAUGUCCUUUAUUUUAUACUUUCUACUUACUUGGGCAUUUUUCUUGGUCAAGCACUUCAGCUCCUAAAAAGCUUAUUCACACAAAUUUGAUAUUCUUAGGAGUUGACAGAUGAUGUGGCCGAGUUUAAAAGAAAAUCAUCACUCAUGAUUCUCACAUGGGCCUCUCCACUGCAUCGCCAGUGGAGACCAUAAAUUUUGCACUGGAGGAAUUUCUGGACAAGAAUGAAAUAAUUCAAGAAUGCAGAUCUCUUAAUGAAUGUCUUAUUAAAUUCUUUCAACCAAGAGCAAGUCUUGCGAAAAAAUAUACUAGACAAGAAAUUCGAAAGUUCAAGAAAUUGAUGACACAGCAAUGGGAUUCAGGCUUCUGAGGUUGCACGGGUAUAAGGUUUCUGCAGGUAGAGUUUUUGACUUCUAGAAAUGAUGACGGCGAAGUAAUGUAAAUGACAAAAGUACAAUUCACCAAGGUUUGUUGGGAUUGUAUCAUUUCUUUUGGAUUAAAAUGGCAGAAGUAAUGUUAUAAUUUCACGAAAAUCUUAUCUAUAAGUAUGCUGGCGUGUGCUAUUUAGGGAAAGAAUGUAUCUGAUUGUUGUUGUUUUGCAGGCGAAGUGUCUAGCAUAUGCAAAAUGUGUUCUUCAAUUGUCUCUAAACUAUCUUUGUUGCAUAUAAUUCUGAAACAUAGGAUGACAAUUUUCUA